UACGGAGGUUGCGAGCGUUGUUCGGAAUUACUGGGCGUAAAGGGAGCGCAGGUGGCUGGGUAAGUCUGAAGUGAAAUCCCGAGGCUCAACCUCGGACGUGCUUUGGAUACUGCCCGGCUUGAGUGUGCAAUAGGAGAGCGGAAUUCCAGGUGUAGCGGUGAAAUGCGUAGAUAUCUGGAGGAACACCCGUGGCGAAAGCGGCUCUCUGGUGCAACACUGACGCUGAGGCUCGAAAGCGUGGGUAGCGAACGGG
rnacentral:rRNA from 1 species